rnacentral:misc_RNA from 1 species
AAGUCGUAACAAGGUUUCCGUAGGUGAACCUGCGGAAGGAUCAUUAACACGUAUCCAACGUUAAACCCCCCUGUGAACCUUCAUUGUGCUCCCACGCUUUGUUAGAAAGUGGCAAUCCCUGGUAAAUCAUCGCCGAACAGUUUUGAUUCAGGGACUUCUGCGAAGAGGGUGAAUGAGGCGAGGCAAUGGACCUGGCAUUCCUCUGCUUGUUGGUGUCUGAAAGUGUCACUAACUCUGUACGAAUGGCGCAGUCACGUUCGCUGGAGGCCGACACGGCCGGCGACCGGGUCCCUGAGCUCUGCUCCCACUGUUACGACAAACCUCUGUUCCCCUCUAGUGAAAGCUAUUGGGUUAUAACUAAACGACUGUUAACAAUGGAUAUCUCGAUUCUC